rnacentral:tRNA from 1 species
UCCCUUGUGGCUGAGUGGUGAAGAAUCUGCCUGCCAAUGCAGGAGACACAGGUUCAAUCCCUGAUCUGGGAA